rnacentral:rRNA from 1 species
UACAGAGGUCCCGAGCGUUGUUCGGAUUCAUUGGGCGUAAAGGGUGUGUAGGCGGCCAGGUAAGUCAGGUGUGAAAUCUCAGAGCUUAACUCUGAAACUGCGCUUGAUACUGCUUGGCUAGAGGAUCGGAGGGGGUAACGGAAUUUAUGGUGUAGCAGUGAAAUGCGUAGAUAUCAUAAGGAACACCGGUGGCGAAGGCGGUUACCUGGAAGAUUCCUGACUCUGAAACACGAAAGCCAGGGGAGCAAACGGG